rnacentral:lncRNA from 1 species
UCUUUGUCUCUGCAAAGGAUGUUUCAUAAAAUGUUGCUUUUGGGUAUCUUUUGAUGCUUCGGUACUCCGAGGAUAUAGCAAUUUAACCAUUUAUAAAAAUGUUCAAGAUACAACUAUAUCUUGUACUUGGAAGUGCUUAAAUCAAUUUAUUACAAUUCAUACAGUAUUACACCAAAAAUAAUUCUAUAAAACUGAGAGUUACUGACAAUUUUCCGUAUGAAACUAUAUUUUUUAUCUAUGAAAGUAUAAUCCAAAUUCAAAUAAAAAACAUUUAAUAAUUAAGGUGGUAUUGUUAUAAAGCUUGAAAAAAAAAAUUAGUCUAUUUAAAAGUAAAACAAUAUUUUAAAAUAAUUUUUGUUUGCAAUGCAAAAAUCAAUAUAAAUCUUGUGACGCGCGGUGUUCAACUUUAGUCAGCGCCAGGCGCUUACCGAGGAGGGACGUAUCGCUCGCUGUUGCGCCGCGUAAACUCGCCGGAGUUCGAAAAAUAUAGCGCAACCUACGCAUCUAACACGUUUUGAUACUAGAUAAUGAAAGCAUAUUUAAUUCAGACUAUCAGACUCAAUUGAAUACCAGUACAAAUAAUAUGGAAAAUGAAGAUACAAUACAUGGAAGACGAAUUAUAGAUUUUAGUUUUUUUUAUAAAUCAAUUACUUAUAAUUGAUAAACAUGGUGAAAAGUUUGGUUGUCGAUUAAAUAAUUUAAAAAUUGUAAACGAUUACUUGUUUAUUGUAACUCAAUCGAGCUAUUCUAGGUUAUAAAAUUCAUCGGUACAAAUAAUAUUUCAUAAACUAUAAGAACAAUAAAUUAUUUCGGAAAAAAGUGGCAAAGUCUCAAGUUUGUUUGUGCCGCGUGGCGGUCCGCAGGUGUGCGUUGCGUAUUUCACUAGACGCACACAUGCGCAAGUGCUGCCGGCUAUCGUCUAAUUUACCUACAACUGAGCAAUUCGAUUUUGUAAUAGCGCUCUUAAUGUUA